CUCCCACAAGGCCUGGGAGGCCAGCUCUGCAUUUCCUAGCUUGCAGCAGGGGAAAAAUCUGUGAUUGACCUGGCUGAGACCUUCGCCCCAUACGUCUCUGGGUGGAAGAACCUCAUGCAGGUCCUGUUAUAAAAGAGACUACUCAAUAAAGCACAGGUGGCAGGCCAAGAAAAUCCAGGCUGUCUUGGGCGGUCAGCUGGGCCUCCUGAGGCAGAGGACUGGGGUUGUUCCCAAGGCUUCUGGGCAUCCCGAGAGAUCCAAGACUCUGGGGUCCAUCCGGGGAGUGGCUGUGGAGCAGCUAAGAGGGGAAGUGGGCAUUAGACAUGUCCUCUCUGGAAAGAAAAAGGUGAACACCCAGGAGAAGAGCUAGCAGGGAGAAGGAGGAGCGGGCCAAUCACGAAGGAGAAAGUCCUAGAUGGAGCCUUCUCAUCCUCAGAAACCACACUGGUUAAAUCAGUGGAUCUUAACUUUGGCUGCAUAUCGGCAUCACCACAGGAAGUUUCAAAAAUUCCAGUGCCUGAGUCCCACCACAGGGAUUCUGAUUUAAUGGGUUUGGGGGGCGGCUUGGCUUUGGGGAUUUUUAAAAGCUCCCUAGGUGAUUCCUAGAGUCAGCCAACUUUGCAAACCAUGGAGUUAAAAACCCAAAACACAAACUUAUUUGCUUCGGUCCUGAAGGAUCUCAGCUGACUGUAGUUGGCCUGGUUAUUGUGAGCAAAUCUGAUUAAGGUCACAGUUCUUAGCAGCUGUGUGAUCUUGGGAUGGUCUCUAACCUCUGGGAUGCUCCUCUGUAGAAUUGUGAUGCUGUGAAGAUUGGAUGAGCUAAAGAGCUGGGCAUGGGGUGGAGGCCACCAGUAGGCGACAGCUAUUGAGUGUCUUGCAUGACUAUAGGAUGGCAAAUAAUUCUCAAUAUGC
rnacentral:lncRNA from 10 species